UGGGGAAUAUUGCACAAUGGGGGAAACCCUGAUGCAGCAACGCCGCGUGAGUGAAGAAGUAUUUCGGUAUGUAAAGCUCUAUCAGCAGGGAAGAAGUGAGACGGUACCUGACUAAGAAGCCCCGGCUAACUACGUGCC
rnacentral:rRNA from 1 species